rnacentral:rRNA from 1 species
UGAGGAAUAUUGGUCAAUGGGCGAGAGCCUGAACCAGCCAAGUAGCGUGCAGGAUGACGGCCCUAUGGGUUGUAAACUGCUUUUAUGUGGGGAUAAAGUGCGUGACGUGUCAUGCAUUGCAGGUACCACAUGAAUAAGGACCGGCUAAUUCCGUGCCAGCAGCCGCGGUAAUACGGAAGGUCCGGGCGUUAUCCGGAUUUAUUGGGUUUAAAGGGAGCGUAGGCUGUCUAUUAAGCGUGUUGUGAAAUUUACCGGCUCAACCGGUGGCUUGCAGCGCGAACUGGUCGACUUGAGUAUGCAGGAAGUAGGCGGAAUUCAUGGUGUAGCGGUGAAAUGCUUAGAUAUCAUGACGAACUCCGAUUGCGCAGGCAGCUUACUGUAGCAUAACUGACGCUUAUGCUCGAAAGGGCGGGUAUCAAACAGG